UGACCCCGCGGCCCCGCGCGGCGGGGUCGGCGGGCUCGGGGCCCGCCUCGGGCCGGCUCAGGCCAGGCCGAGGUCGGCCA
rnacentral:tRNA from 1 species